rnacentral:tRNA from 1 species
GAUGUCGUGGUGGAAUGGUAUACACGCUGCGGUGCUAACGCAGUUUCUUUAUGAAAUGCAAGUUCAAGUCUUGUCGACAUCG